rnacentral:rRNA from 1 species
GUGGUCAUGGACGAAGUCUGAUGCAGCCAUGCCGCGUGCAUGAAGAAUGCCUUCUGGGUGGUAAGCUGUUUUUAUUUACCAAGAAACCCUCGUAACGUGUCCCAGGCUGACUGGACUAUAUGAAUAAAGAACGGCUAAGUUCACUCCGUGCC